rnacentral:siRNA from 1 species
GCAGCCUUAGGGGGUGGAGUGA